rnacentral:lncRNA from 1 species
GCCCUUUUCCAAAUCUGGUCAGCUUUUGGGCCUAUUCUUUAUGGACUUUUGGUCCAUUUCUGUAGUUGUAUACCGGCUGUAUACUAAAACUUUAUAUCAACCUCGUUUUACGGCGUUUUACUGUAUAUACACUGUAUAUCAGUGUAUAAAACUGGCUUCCUCACUUCCUUGCUUCCAUCUACUGUUUUAUAUGCCGUAUACCAGUCAUCCUUGAUCUUUAAAUCCCGCAUUUUGCUGUAUACCAGUGUAUACAGCCCUAUUUAAUCUCUUUGGGACUUGAAUUUGGAG